rnacentral:rRNA from 1 species
GAUGAACGCUGGCGGCGUGCCUAAUACAUGCAAGUCGAGCGAACGGACGAGAAGCUUGCUUCUCUGAUGUUAGCGGCGGACGGGUGAGUAACACGUGGAUAACCUACCUAUAAGACUGGGAUAACUUCGGGAAACCGGAGCUAAUACCGGAUAAUAUUUUGAACCGCAUGGUUCAAAAGUGAAAGACGGUCUUGCUGUCCCUUAUAGAUGGAUCCGCCCUGCAUUAGCUAGUUGGUAAGGUAACGGCUUACCAAGGCAACGAUGCAUAGCCGACCUGAGAGAGUGAUCGGCCACACUGGAACGGGAACACGGUCCAGACUCCUACGGGAGGCAGCAGUAGGGAAUCUUCCGCAAGGGGCGAAAGCCUGACGGAGCAACGCCGCGUGAGUGAUGAAGGUCUUCGGAUCGUAAAACUCUGUGAUUAGGGAAGAACAUAUGUGUAAGUAACUGUGCACAUCUUGACGGUACCUAAUCAGAAAGCCACGGCUAACUACGUG